UUUUUUUUUUGCCUUAUUUCACAGCCCAAAUCAUUAUUUCCCUUUCUCCUCCCACCCACAAAACCCUGAACACCCCACCACUCCUCCCUUGUCUCUCUCUGAACCACCACUCCGGUUCAUGAGAUCGGAAACUGCCACGAAUCCCAGCCAAUUCGUUUACCACGAACAGAAAUGAACCGCCACGACCAUGUGAAGCAACGAACUGCCACAACCAGGUGAACCAACAAAAUGCAAAGAAAGAACCGCAACGAUACCAUUCAGCGUCACUCGUCGUCCUCUCUCAGCCGUCACUCUUUCACUGUCGCUUGCCGUUUCUCUCACACAAGAUCUCAUCGAAGUCAAAUUUGAAGAAGGAAAACCUCUGUUUGUAUGGAUAUCCAAAUGAACAGUGGGAAGUGAACUUGCCUGCAUAAAAGAGGUGCCUCCAGAGCUCCUAGAGCCUGCUUUGGGUAUUAACUUUGCCAGAGAUGGCAUGCAAUCAAAGGACUGGCUAUCACUUGUUGUUCAUAUUGAUGUUUGGUUGCUUUCUGUUGCCUUCUACUUUGGUGCGAGGUUUGGAUUUGAUAAAGGGGAUAGGUGUAAAGAAUCAUUUUUGUGAAUUACAAUAUGGCUAGCUUGUGGAGCUGGAGGCAGCUGGUAGCAUAUGGCAGCAGGCGCUGUUGCUUGAUGCUAGAUAAAUCAAUAUGAUUAGCUGAUCCGGUUUUGGACCGAAUCAGUAAAUAUUUUGGAUCUGUUGCGAGUCCAUCCAAUGCGGACCAAAACCAGAUCAGUAAGCCUGAUUUUGACCGCAUCGGAUGGGCUUUUUUGCACUAGUGCACAUUGAGCAAAGAGAAUACUAAGUCUAAGAAAGAAAUUAAGUUUGGAUUUUGAAGACUAAUUGGGGAUGCUCAAGGAACUAAUAUUGGAGAAGCAUUGGAACAAGAGAAUCUAAGUGUGGCUUGUAUUUUUAGUUCCUAUGUAAGAAAAGAGUAAGUAAUGGUAAGGAACAAUGACAACAUAAAAAGAGAAUGAAGAUCUGUUCCUUUGAGAGGAACAAACGAACUAGCACUAUCAUGAUAAGUUAAAGGAACUAACGAGUUUAAAGGAACUAGACUUAGAGUAACAGUUAUAUUUUGUCGGUUGAACUAUUGAUGCCUAAAAAAUAGGAAACCGUUUUGACAUUUGUUCAAAAUAUGAUUUUAAGGAAAAUCUUUUUAAGGAAAAGAUUUUAUUUUUAUUUGAAAAUGAAAAUUCUUUUUCAGUUUUAAAGAAAAUAUUUUAAUGAUAAUAUUUUGAUAAAAGGAUUUAAUUUUAGUUUUAUUAAUUAAAAUACUUUUUAAUUAAAAAGCAUAUUUAGGAUUGUGGGACAAGUAAAUGCGAUAAUUUAGGGAGUUGUUCUAAUCUUGUUCACAUACGUUCAUAAGAUCAUGGAGUUCAUGGGUAACAAAAGGAAUGUGUUCCUCUAAUUGAGUAACAUCAUGGAAUUUUUUACCACUAACACAUGAUUUAAUCUCAUGUUCUACUUUGUGUCUGACCAAGAGAUUUAGUGAGUCUAACUAAGUAAAGUGUGGUGCCUUCAUUCUCUCGUAAAGCAAUUUGUUCUUUGCCUUCUUACUCUAUUCCACUGAGUUUGUUGAUUAUCGUAAUUUUGAUUUUGGAGUAAGGGGAUUUUGAAUGAAGUCUUAUAAGAGAGAAGCUUUCAGUGAAGCAAGUUAAAGUGAGAAAACUUCAAGUCUAGUUGCAUACUGAAAAGGCUAAAUCAGCGAUUGCUUAACUAUGAUGGUUUAAAUAACGGUCGUUAUUCUUGCACUCAGCAAAUGUAUUACUCCGUCGUUGCCACCAAUAGUAGAGAAAGGUCGAUUUGCAUCGCCUGGGACCCAUAUUUGCGUCGGACUUGGGUUCGAAGGCACAGUUCUCGACACAGAUGACCUAUAAUUGAUUUUUGUCGUAUGCGAAAACGACGCAGAUCUUUUAGCUAUUUGCGUCGCACGUUGUAUACGGUGCGACGCAAAUUGCUCUCCCAGCCCCAUAAACUACAAACUACAACCUGGAUAUAAGGAGAAUUUGCGUCGCACAUAGCACAGGGUGCGACGCAAAUCAGGCAUCUGCGCCGCACCUUGUGCCAUGUGUGACGCAAUGACCUUAUCUGAAAAAAAAAUAUUGUACCAAAGCAUGAAUGCUUUAGUACUGCAUUAGAGGAAAUAAUCUGCCAAUAAUAAAAAAACGAGAUCUAGCAAGUGAACCUAACAUCUAACUUGCGUCGAUUAAGAAACAAAUGAUAAUAAUUAAAAAACGAGAUCUAACAAAUAUUAAGAAACAAGUGAUAAUAAUUAAAAAAGAGACAAGUGAACCUUAAUAAAAAAAUCAGUGUUGCGUCGAUUAAGAAACGAAAAAAAUCUGAACAAAUAUCAAAAAUUAAAUAUUCAGAUCUAACAUACAACAAAAAACGAAAUUAAAAAACUAAACCCAAAAAAAACCCAGAUGUAACAUAAAAGAAUGAAAUUCCACUAAAUAUAU